rnacentral:rRNA from 1 species
GCCAUGCCGCGUGUGUGAAGAAGGCCUUUUGGUUGUAAAGCACUUUAAGCGAGGAGGAGGCUACUUGGAUUAAUACUCUAGGAUAGUGGACGUUACUCGCAGAAUAAGCACCGGCUAACUCUGUGCCAGCAGCCGCGGUAAUACAGAGGGUGCGAGCGUUAAUCGGAUUUACUGGGCGUAAAGCGUGCGUAGGCGGCUUUUUAAGUCGGAUGUGAAAUCCCUGAGCUUAACUUAGGAAUUGCAUUCGAUACUGGGAAGCUAGAGUAUGGGAGAGGAUGGUAGAAUUCCAGGUGUAGCGGUGAAAUGCGUAGAGAUCUGGAGGAAUACCGAUGGCGAAGGCAGCCAUCUGGCCUAAUACUGACGCUGAGGUACGAAAGCAUGGGGAGCAAACAGGAUUAGAUACCCUGGUAGUCCAUGCCGUAAACGAUGUCUACUAGCCGUUGGGGCCUUUGAGGCUUUAGUGGCGCAGCUAACGCGAUAAGUAGACCGCCUGGGGAGUACGGUCGCAAGACUAAAACUCAAAUGAAUUGACGGGGGCCCGCACAAGCGGUGGAGCAUGUGGUUUAAUUCGAUGCAACGCGAAGAACCUUACCUGGUCUUGACAUAGUAAGAACUUUCCAGAGAUGGAUUGGUGCCUUCGGGAA